AUUGAACGCUGGCGGAAUGCUUUACACAUGCAAGUCGAACGGCAGCACGGGGCAACCUGGUGGCGAGUGGCGAACGGGUGAGUAAUACAUCGGAACGUGCCCAAUCGUGGGGGAUAACGUAGCGAAAGUUACGCUAAUACCGCAUACGAUCUACGGAUGAAAGCGGGGGAUCGCAAGACCUCGCGCGAAUGGAGCGGCCGAUGUCAGAUUAGGUAGUUGGUGGGGUAAAGGCUCACCAAGCCAACGAUCUGUAGCUGGUCUGAGAGGACGACCAGCCACACUGGAACUGAGACACGGCCCAGACUCCUACGGGAGGCAGCAGUGGGGAAUUUUGGACAAUGGGCGCAAGCCUGAUCCAGCCAUUCCGCGUGCAGGAUGAAGGCCUCGGUUGUAAC
rnacentral:rRNA from 1 species